rnacentral:rRNA from 1 species
GUCAGCAGCCAUAUCACUCUGUAACUCACAACUGGCAACCCACUGAAGCUCAGCAGGUGUGAGCCAGAUCAGUACCUGGAUGGGAGACUUCCCGGGAAAAACUAAGGUUGCUGCUGGUA